UCAAUCAGGUACAAUUUCCGGCUGUUUUCAUUGGAUGUUAUAUUUAUAACACCGGUAAUGUUACUAUUAUUAUCAAUUGCGUAGUAGGGGAUGUUUACUAACCUUAUAUGGAGUGUUUACCUCAAUGACCCAAAUAAACAUGUUUAUUUCACAACAGGAUUUGUGUCAUAGGGAUGGUAAACAAGGAUGGUUUUUGUCACGUAUAUCUUCGUCAUAGGAAGUUAUAUUUAUAAAACACCAAUCAGAAUGUAUUCACGUGGGUUAUUGACGUAAACAGUCCAUAUAAGGCUCGUAAACAUCCUUACCACGCAAUUUAUAAUAAUAGUAACAUUACCAUCAUAUAAAUAUAACAGCCAAUGAAAUUAAUCGGAAACAACUUCUCAUUAUAGCAUAUUACCGAAUUAUUUUUGUAUAUAAGUGAGAGCAGUUCAGUGUUAAAAUCAUUCUGAGAUUUGAAAGCUGAAGUAAACACAUCUAAUAAGAAGCCUAAAGGGAAGAUAACUCUCCAGUUGUUUUUAUUUAAAAAAAGAUAUGGCACUCAAAAGAUCAAUCAGUAAUGUUUCUGAAGAAUGUGAAAAGAAGAUCAAAAUAGACUAUAAUGUUAAUUUAGACUAUGCAGAAUUACUAAAAGAAAUCAGAGAUUUUGUAAUCUAAGAUGAGGAAACAAUUAAAAGACUACAUGAAACAUUUGGCACCACAGGCCUAAUUACAAUUAGUUUAUUGAAACUUUUUGGUGAAACAGAAUUCAACACUGAAGAAAGCUCAUUAAUGUUCUAUAUAAAGUAGCGCAUACAGCAGGUGAUCAAGAAUUAGAGAUCAAUGUUAUUGAUGAUGCUGAAUUCAAGGACAAUCUAAUCAGUUCAAUUAUUGAAGAUUUGGAAUUUGCACAAGAAACAGAGAAAAACCAUUGACAUUACAUUUAUCCGUGAUGAAUAUGAAGAGCGUGUGCAAGACUUAAGUGACAAAUUUGAAGAUGAUAAAGAUGAUUUAUUUGUUUUAAAACAUAUUGAUUGUAAAAUUGUAAAAUAUAAUAAUAAUUGAUGAAUAUAUUGAUUUUGACAAUUAAAAAAA
rnacentral:sRNA from 1 species